rnacentral:rRNA from 1 species
UGGUGGAGUGAUUUGUCUGGUUAAUUCCGUUAACGAACGAGACCUCAGCCUACUAACUAGUUGAGCUAACACAUUGCUGUUGGACUCAACUUCUUAGAGGGACUGUCUGUAUCUAGCAGAAGGAAGUGUGAGGCAAUAACA